GUUAAAUUCUUUACCAAAUUCAAACUUGGUGAUGGGGCCGGUGUUGUAUCGUCCUCUGUAUCUGUCACCGUAGGUGGUGCUGGGGGACUUUGUACAGUUGGUGCAGGUGCUGGUGCAUGAUGAUGAUGCUUGUGCUUGUGCUUGUGCUUGUUCUUCCCCUUGUGGUUGGGUGGAGCAGGUGAUGGUGCUUGCACUGGUUGUGAAGCUGGUGGCACAAUAACCGGUGCUGGCGCGGAUACUGGGGGUGCUUUUAAUGGUGAGGGCACUGGUGCUACUUUAGCUGGUGCCGGUGCAGGAGUUGCUUUAACAGGGGCUGGGGCUUGAACUGGUGUUGGAGAUGCAGGUGGCGCCGCUACAGGAGGCGGCAAUGUUGGUGUCGAAACAGGUGGUGAUGGCGGCAGAUUCGGUGGCUGUGAUGGAGUUGACACAGGUGGACUUUGGGGUAGCGGGGGUGGGACUGCUGGGCUUUUGGAUGGUGCUACCUUAGGGGAAGGUGAUGCGGGUGUGGUGAUUGGUGGGGUUGCUGCUGCAUUUACAGGCGGUUGUGUUACUGCGGUUGGUGCGGUAGAAGGUGGUGGGGUUGUAGUCGGCAGAGUAGCCGGUGCAGCAGGUGUGGUAGUAGGCGGGGGCGUUGCAGCUGGCAAAGUAGAGGGUGCGGCUGCCGGUGUCUGUGCACCGGUAAGGAUUACUUGAAAGCUGAGGCAACAUAGGACGAAAGCCAGCAAAAUCGAAACCAUUUUUGGAAGACGAAUUCCAGGGAACAGCAUCGGAGGGUUGUCGGUUAUAUAUUAGGUUUGUGAGGAGAGAAAAUUGCAGUUUGGUGAAACAAUUGAAGUAGGGAGAGAUGUAAUUUUCAUGUGAUGGGAACUUCUCUGCUAAUCAUUUGGCGAGCAUAUGUUGUUAAUGAAGUUGAGAAGCUGGCCAAGAAAUUGACAAAAGUCUCGCGGCACAAAUGUAGAAGAAACGUCUAUUUUUGAUCUUAACAGCAAAGCUUAACUCUGGUAGGAGGUGUCUAUCCGUCCUUUCUGAAAGCAACGUCCUCAAUCCUCAAUUCAACACCCUUCGUAACACGGGACGUUGCCAUGGCAGUACUGUCUCAUGCAAGUUACUCUCCUGUUAAGCGCAGAUGACCGCACGGCAUUUAUUUGUUUGUUUAUCAUUCAUUUGGUAAUGGCUUACUGUCGAAGGGAGGUUGGAGGCACUGUGAUUAAAACAAAGGAUGGGCAAACGAAGGCCAACAAUAAUCCAACGUGAAUAUCAUGAAUAAAAGCUAUAUUUAAAAUUAAAUAAAUUAAAAAAAAAAAAAAAGACACUAUCUAGAACAUAAAAAAAAAUUGGAUGCUCCGGUGUAUCGGGUACUUUGGGCGUUUUAACUGUUUUUAGAUCUUUAUUUUUGUAUUUUCAAAUAAAGAUCUAACGGUUAAAAUAGGGGUGUGAUAUCCACACAUCCCAUUUUACUUCUCACACACCUUUUUGAUUUUCAGCAGUCGGAUUGGAUGAAUUGAAGAAGAUCAAAUGACAGAAAUUCUCAAGGGGUGUAUGAGAAGUGAAAUGUGGUGUGUGAAUAGCACAUUCCCUAAAAUAUCCGAAGUACUGAAUACUCACCUAAGAAAGUACCCUAGAGCAUUGUCCCAUUUACGCGGCCUUGCUUGUAAUGCUAGGUUUCUGUAAAUACUUUUGGAACACGCUUUUGUUAAAAUCGCAAUUAAAUGUUUAUUAAAAAUUCAUACAGCUUUUUAAAACAAAUUGAUAAGGGCUUCUUUGAAAAGUGCUUUUAUAAUUUCCAAGUUUUUUUUUUUAAAUUUGCCGGAUGGUCCCAUAAUCUAUAGUCAUCCCAUUUGACAUCAUGCAAUUGACAUAGUCAUAGCUCAUAGUCGGAUCGCCAGUGAAAUCUAAUUAUACUGGUAGAUAUAAUUUGGCAAAAUUUUCGGACUAACUGAAAGAAAGACAACUAAAUUUCGCCAACAUUCGACACAGAUUUGUACAUUCAUCAAACUAACAGUCUUUGAACUCUUACAAACAGAACAUUAUGUGGAAGAUGCGAUGCAUCUUCGUAAGUAACUUUGAUGGAUGGAGAGAAAUUCGAUGAAGACGCGGGGGCGCUGCCGGGUCUGCUUGCUUUUCCUUCUUCCUUCUCCUCAACUGGAAGAAUUGCUGCAUUAUAUCUGCACAAUCCGAUGCCAACACGCCACGUUGGAUUGUCAUAUUUGGGUGGAAUGGGUGGACAGGAGGAGCUGGUUUUUCCGAGUGUUCCGAGCUUCGAGCUAUUUCCUUCACCCCCAUCAGGAAAAAGUCUGCAAGCAUAUUUACAGGUUGAUAAGAUAAGGAGCAAUUGAAUAACACAAUUCGCAUACCUUAUCCAGUUAGGGGUUACUUAGAAGGGCACAACUCGCAUACCUUAUCCAGCUGCCAUCAGCUCCGAGAAGCUUAUUUGGAGCUCGCCAUACAACAGUGUCGACUCUUGCUUGGAGUAUUGCUCCAGCACACAUUGGGCACGGUUCAAGUGUUACAUACAGAGUAGUCUCCUGAGACAUCAGAAAACAAGAGUUAAGUCUAAGGUGGGAUGCCCUGGCUUCCUUCAUCGGUAAGUAGUAAGUUGAGUUACAUAUAAACCAAUGUCAACAAAACACUUCCACAGUUACGAAUGGUGUUAUCAUUGUAUAAAUUUCAUGAUAAAUGUGACUGACAUGGCUUCCACUUUACAACUUAGGGAGUUUUUUAAUAUCCAAUAGAAAUGCAGAUAUUUGACGUUUAAUGAAAAAAGAAAGACUGCUCUCUAACUUUGCAAUGUCAUCAUGCAGACACAGAAGCCAGAAGGGAAUUUUUAAUGGAGAGGAAGAAAAGCAUGAUUCCAUGACUAGAAUAUGUCCCUUCAGAUCAUCAAUAUGCGUGUAUAUAUAUAUGGAAAUGGGUACUAACAACUAAAUAACAGAGAAAUUACCGAAAGCCUCCAUGACCGAAGAACAUUUGAAGCUUCCCGUAUGCAUAUCAUUUCUGCAUGGGCAGUUGAAUCCCGUAAUUCUUCCACUCUGAUACACACAUCAGUGUAAAUAUCCAGAAGAAAGCAUUUAGCUAUACACAUAAGCUAAUAGAACUCACAGGUUACAUCCACGUGCAAUAAUCUUGGCCUUGUGGUUGAGUAUGACUUAAGGGAGGAUUUCGAUGUGGAUACAAAUGCGGAUGAAGUUUGAUCCGACAUUGAAUUCAUUAUGCUACGUUUGAGUUGUCUUUGUGAUAAAGUAAUUCUUGGCGGUUGUUGGAAUUCAUCUCCCUUGAUAUAUUGAACACGAAGUAAACAAAAAAGUGGUAAAUGUUGAUCGUUCAUCUUUUGUAUUAUUGAUUCUUAGACUAGGGUUGUACAUGUGAAAAAAUCAUCUUCUUGCAAUAUAUUCUCUUGAAAAAAAUCUUCUGGCAUUGUACCAAUAAAUUCAUAGUUCAACGUCUAAGAUUGAUAUUAGCCCGUCAUUGCCAGCAGUAUAGUGAUUGCUAACCCGAUCGUAACCCAGAAUCCUGAUAUCCCUCCUUUCUGGUGGAGUGCAUUUCCUCCGUUCUAUGAGACAAAAAAGAGAAAUGUCAUUGAAAAAACUUCAAAGUUGUCAAAGUAACAUCUAUAAAAUUUGAGUUCCGUCAUGCAGAUAUGGUGUUCUAUGGUAAUAAGAGUAAGAGCUGGUUAAAUUCUUUACCAAAUUCAAACUUGGUGAUGGGGCUGGUGUUGUAUCGUCCUCUGUAUCUGUCACCGUAGGUGGUGCUGGGGGACUUUGUACAGUUGGUGCAGGUGCUGGUGCAUGAUGAUGAUGAUGCUUGUGCUUGUGCUUGUGCUUGUGCUUGAUAAACCGAUUCCAACUCAGUCUAUGCAUACACCAAUAGAAUUCCAGUCUAACAUUGAAUCCCAGUCCAACACGGAAUCCUCACCGCUUGCUGCACCGCUUGCUGCAGAUCGUGUUUUGUCCUGAUUCAACUUCUUGUAAUCCUAGUUCUAUGUAUAUAUGACUUGUACUCCUAUAAAUAUUAAUGCACGCCACUCACUCGAUUAUUGAGUUGAGAUUUUAUAAUUACUGUCUUUCAUGGUAUCCAGAGCCUACGUCUCACGACAAAGGUUCAUAUUAUAAUUUUUUUUUUCUUCUUCUUUCUCUUUUCCUCUCAGUCUUCUACAGUUAUGGCGUCUUCUUCCUCUGCUACUGCUGCUCCCUCUGUCAUGAAUUUUCUCACCAUCAAGCUCGACCGCAACAACUACCCUCUCUGGCGUGCUCAGUUCCUUCCCUUGCUGCGCAGCCGCAACUUACUAUCGUAUGUUACUGGUGAAAAUCACUGCCCAUCUGCUUUUCUUCUUGAUGACAAUGGUCAACUCACAGACAAGGUCAAUCCAUUAUAUACUGAAUGGAUACAGACUGAUCAGAUGAUCCUUUCUUGGAUUACGAGUUCACUUACUCCCAAGGUUCUUGCUACAAUCAUCAACAAAAUUGAUUCGGCUUCUGCCUGGUCGUCUCUUCAAGAACGGUAUGCUUCUACGUCUCAAAAUCGUAUUAUCCACAUGCGUACAGAAUUGAUGACUACUGCUCGUGGUAAUCUUUCUAUCGCUGACUAUCUCGACAAAGUCAACGCCAUCGCCGACAACCUUGCUCUUUCUGGCGCCCCCGUCUCUGAAUCCGACUUAGUCGCAAUUAUUAUGAGCAAAGUAGGUCCACAAUAUGAGACCACUGUUGCUUCCGCACAGGCUCGUGACACUCCCAUCAACUACAAUUCCUUGGAAGCUUUAUUACUGAGUGCCGAGCAACGUUACAACGCCUUUUCUCUUCCCUCUGAUAGCGGCACCUCUGCUUUUGCUGCUGUGCGUGGUGGUCGCGGUGGCUUCCGUGGCCGUGGUAAUUCUUUUCGUGGUGGACGUGGUGGAAGUUUCUCCCGUGGUGGUGCUGGUAACUUCUCACGCCCACAUUUGGCUGCUCCUGACUCCGGGUCUGCUGCACCUGCAACAUCCACAUUUGCAACCCCUUCCCGCGGGUCCUCUUCUUCCUACAAUGGACUUCUUGGUCCCGCACCUGGCUCCAGCACUCCUCCUGGUUCCUUGCCUGUUUUUUCCUCCUCUGGGCGUCUUCAAUGUCAGAUUUGUCAACGCUUUGGGCACUCGGCUAUUGAUUGCUUCAAUCGUCUCAAUCUGUCCUAUGAAGGUCGGGUUCCCUCCUCUCGUCUUCAAGCCUACACAGCUGCACCAUCUUCCCGUGCUUCCACCGCUGCACCCUCUGUCCCGCAAUGGCUUUUUGACUCCGGCGCCAAUUCUCACAUAACCAAUGAUGUCAGCCAACUCCAAAAUCCUCGUGAGUAUCAUGGCACCGAUCAAAUUCGUGGUGUGCAUGGUGGUCCAGGUUUGAACAUCUCAAAAAUUGGUGACUCGUACCUUAACACUAAAUAUGCUUCUUUUCGUUUGCCUAACACCCUUUAUUGUCCCCAAGCAUCAACUAAUGUGAUUUCUUUGAACCGUUUUUCGGAUGAUAAUAACUGCUUCUUUACUUUACAUCCUCAUUUUUAUCGUGUGCAGGAUUCACGGACGGGGAGGAUCCUUUUACAAGGCCGGAGUAACAAUGGACUCUACCCGUGUUCUAGUCACCCCUCUCAUCAAACCCAUGGUGUUUUUGCUUUAUUAGGUGAACGUGUCACUGAUGCCUUGUGGCAUAGUAGGCUAGGUCAUCCUUCGUUUUCCAUUUUAAAACAUUUAAUUUCUGCCAAUAAAUUGCCCAUUCAAGGCUCGUUUCAAAAUAAAUUUUGUCAAUUUUGUCCCCUAGGAAAAAGUCAUAAAUUACCCUUUUCUUUGUCUACAUCUGUGUCUUCUUUUCCUUUAGCGUUAAUUCAUUCCGAUGUUUGGACUUCACCAUCUUUAUCUGUUUCUGGCUUUAAAUAUUAUGUGGUGUUUGUGGAUGAUUUUUCUCGUUAUACUUGGUUUUAUCCUUUGCGUUCGAAAUCCGACGUUUUUUCUACAUUUGUUACUUUUAAAAAUUCGGUUGAAAAUAUGUUCACUGUUAAGAUUAAAGCUUUUCAAACCGAUGGUGGUGGGGAAUUUGUUAAUAAGGCCCUUAGUACAUUUUUGAAUGACCAUGGUAUUUUACAUCGUCUUACAUGUCCCCAUCACCCUGAACAAAACGGAUUAGCCGAGCGUAAACAUCGUCAUUUAGUUGAGACUGGGCUUACUCUUUUAGCCCAAUCCGGUUUGCCUACUCCGUAUUGGGCCGAAGCUUUUCAUACUGCUAAUUAUAUCAUUAACCGUUUGCCCACUCGUCUUUUACACCAUAUAUCUCCUUAUGAAAAAUUAUUUCACAAACCUCCUCAUUAUCUGUUUUUCAAAGUUUUUGGUUGUGCCUGUUAUCCCUACUUGCGUCCUUAUAAUACUAACAAAUUACAAUUUCGUUCAAAACGGUGUGUCUUCUUAGGAUAUUCAUUAAAUCAUCAAGGUUAUAGAUGUUUGGAUCCCUCUACGGGACGUGUCUUUCUUUCUCGCCAUGUCGUGUUUGAUGAGAACAGUUUUCCAUAUCAAGAAUCCAUUGUUACUUCGUCAUCACCGCUUUCCUCGUCUGUGGAUCCCGUUCUCGAGAUUGGCCCAUCCAACAACCCUACUCCUGCCACCCACUCCAUCCCGCACCCACCUCCUCCUACUACUUUAGCCGUGCCUACCCCUCCUCAGCCUUCUACCCAACGUCCACUCCAAGUAUACAGUCGCCGGUCCCCACGCCCCCAAACUUCUCAGCCCCCUGUCCCACCUGCAUCAAUCCCUCCCAUACCCUCAUGUUCUUCUCUUGAGCCGGUCCCUACAUCAAACAUGCCACCAGUCACACCCGCACCAUUGGUUUCAUCUACUCCCGAGGAAAGUGCCAUGUCCCAUUCUAUGGUAACUCGAGGCAAAAGUGGUAUUUGCAAACCUAAUCCCAAAUAUACUUAUGUUGCUACUGUUACUAAUGCCUUGGUUGAGCCUACAUGUUUUAGUCAGGCUAAUAAGGAUUUCGAGUGGAGAAAGGCGAUGGUUGACGAAUUCAAUGCUUUACAACAUAAUGGCACUUGGACUUUGGUUCCGUUUCAACCCACUAUGAAUAUUCUUCCUAAUAAGUGGGUAUACAAAAUCAAGCGACGCUCUGAUGGCUCAAUUGAGCGUUACAAGGCACGGUUAGUGGCUAACGGGUUUCAUCAACAAGAGGGUUUAGACUACGGUGAGACAUUUAGUCCCGUUGUCAAUCAUGCGACUAUUCGUUUAAUUCUCUCCAUUGCUAUUAUUUUCAAUUGGCCUCUUCGACAACUUGAUGUCCAAAAUGCAUUCCUUCAUGGUUCUUUGAAUGAAGAGGUCUAUAUGCGGCAACCACCGGGAUUCAUUGAUCCUCAACGUCCAUCUCAUGUGUGCAAAUUGCAACGUUCUUUAUACGGUCUUAAACAAGCUCCUCGUGCUUGGUUUCAAUGUUUUUCCAAUCACUUGGAAAAUUUGGGUUUUGCAUCUUCUCAUGCAGAUUCAUCAUUGUUUACUUUCUUUGAUGGUUCUGUGGUUAUUUACUUGUUAAUUUAUGUGGAUGACAUUCUUAUUACUGGCAAUAGCAUGGACCAUAUCACUCGUUUGAUUCAUCAGUUGGGCACAUUAUUUUCAAUGAAGGAUCUUGGACCGCUUCAUUAUUUCUUAGGUAUGGAGGUUCAUCGUACUAGCACGGGUCUUCAUCUUACUCAGACAAAGUAUAUCACUGAUCUUCUCCAACGCACCAACAUGCUGGAAUGCAAGCCCAUUUCGACCCCAGCCAUUAGUGGCCGACGCCUCAGUCUCUCUGAUGGUGAACCCUUGUCUGAUAUCACCGAGUUUCGUAGCAUUGUGGGUGCCUUGCAGUAUCUCCUCUUCACUCGUCCUGAUAUUGCCUUUGCCGUUAACCAGGUUUGUCAGUUUAUGCAUAAGCCCACAACGACACAUUGGGUUGCGGUUAAACGAAUACUCCGUUAUCUUAAAGCUACUCCAAACCAUGGGAUUGUUUAUCGCUCGAGUUCCCUUCAGCUCACUGCCUAUGCUGAUGCGGACUAUGCUGGUGAUCCGGACGAUCGCCGUUCCACUGGUGGUUACUGUAUAUUCCUUGGUGAUAACCUCAUCUCGUGGAGCUCCAAGAAGCAACGUGGUGUCUCGCGCUCAAGUACAGAAGCUGAAUAUCGUCAGCUUGCCUAUACAGCCGCUGCUCUCUCUUGGUAUCGCACCUUGUUUCGCGAGCUUCAUCUCCCUCUUGCUCCGCCCCGCAUCUGGUGCGACAACAUUAGUGCCAUUUCCGUCGCUUCCAAUCCAGUUUAUCACCAGCGCAUGCGGCAUGUCGAGGUUGACUAUCACUAUGUUCGGGAAAAGGUCACUCGUAAAGAGCUCAUCGUUUGCUAUGUCUCCUCCACGGAUCAGCUGGCUGAUCUCCUUACCAAGGGAUUGUCUGCAGUUCGUUUUGCCUUCUUGCUGUCCAAACUUCCAGUUCGUGCCCUCCCUGUCCGUUUGCGGGGGAGUGAUAAACCGAUUCCAACUCAGUCUAUGCAUACACCAAUAGAAUUCCAGUCUAACAUUGAAUCCCAGUCCAACACGGAAUCCUCACCGCUUGCUGCACCGCUUGCUGCAGAUCGUGUUUUGUCCUGAUUCAACUUCUUGUAAUCCUAGUUCUAUGUAUAUAUGACUUGUACUCCUAUAAAUAUUAAUGCACGCCACUCACUCGAUUAUUGAGUUGAGAUUUUAUAAUUACUGUCUUUCAGUGCUUCCCCUUGUGUUUGGGUGGAGCAGGUGACGGUGCUUGCACUGGUUGUGAAGCUGGUGGCACAAUAACUGGUGCCGGCGCCGAUACUGGGGGUGCUUUUGAUGGUGAGGGCACUGGUGCUACUUUAGCUGGUGCCGGUGCAGGAGUUGCUUUAACAGGAGCUGGGGCUUGAACUGGUGUUGGAGAUGCAGGUGGCGCAGCUACAGGAGGUGGCAAUGUUGGUGUCGAAACAGGUGGUGAUGGCGGCAGAUUCGGUGGCUGUGAUGGAGUUGACACAGGUGGACUUUGGGGUAGCGGGGGUGGGACUGCUGGGCUUUUGGAUGGUGCUACCUUAGGGGAAGGUGAUGCAGGUGUGGUGGUUGGUGGGGUUGCUGGGGUUGCUGCUGCAUUUACAGGCGGUUGUGUUACUGCGGUUGGUGCAGUAGAAGGUGGUGGAGUUGUAGUCGGCAGAGUAGCCGGUGCAGCAGGUGUGGUAGUAGGCGGGGGCGUUGCAGCUGGCAAAGUAGAGGGUGCGGCUGCCGGUGUCUGUGCACCGGUAAGUAUUACUUGAAAGCUGAGGCAACAUAGAACGAAAGCCAGCAAAAUCGAAACCAUUGUUGGAAGACGAAUGCCAGCGAACAGCAUUGGAGGGUUGUCGGUUAUAUAUCAGGUUUGUGAGUAGAGAAAAUUGCAGUUUGGUGAAACAAUUGAAGUGGGGAGAGAUGUAAUUUUCAUGUGAUGGGAACUUCUCUGCUAAUCAUUUGGCGAGCAAAUGUUGUUAAUGAAGUUGAGAAGCUGGCCAAGAAAUUGACAAAAGUCUCGUGGCACAAAUGUCCGCGACGAUUAGAAGAAACGUCUAUUUUUGAUCUUAACAGCAAAGCUUAACUCUGGUAGGAGGUAUCUAUCAGCCCUUUCUGAAAGCAAGGUCCUCAAUCCUCAAUGCAACACCCUUGGUAACACAGGACGUUGCGAUGACAGUACCGUGUCAUGCAAGUUACUCUCCUAUUAAGCACACGAUGACCGUAGGUGUAUUUAUUUGUUUGUUUAUUAUUCAUUUGGUAAUGUCUCACUGUCAAAGGGAGGUAGGAGGCACUGUGAUUAAAACAAAGGAUGGGCAAACAAAGGCCAACAAUAAUCCAACAUGAAUAUCAUGAAUAAAAGCUAUAGUUAAAAUAAAAAAUAAAAAAUAAAGGACACUAUCUAGAACAUCAAAACAAUUUGGGUGUUCCGGUGUAUUAGGUACUUUGGGCGUUUUAACCGUCUUUAGAUCUUUAUUUUUGUAUUUUUAAACAAAGAUCUAACGGUUAAAAUAUCUGAAGGUACUGAAUACUCACCCAAGAAAGUACCCUAGGGCAUUGUCACAUUUACAUGGCCUUGCUUGUAAACGCUAGGCUUCUG
rnacentral:lncRNA from 1 species